rnacentral:rRNA from 1 species
GAUGAACGCUGGCGGCGUGCCUAAUACAUGCAAGUCGAGCGAACGGACGAGAAGCUUGCUUCUCUGAUGUUAGCGGCGGACGGGUGAGUAACACGUGGAUAACCUACCUAUAAGACUGGGAUAACUUCGGGAAACCGGAGCUAAUACCGGAUAAUAUUUUGAACCGCAUGGUUCAAAAGUGAAAGACGGUCUUGCUGUCACUUAUAGAUGGAUCCGCGCUGCAUUAGCUAGUUGGUAAGGUAACGGCUUACCAAGGCAACGAUGCAUAGCCGACCUGAGAGGGUGAUCGGCCACACUGGAACUGAGACACGGUCCAGACUCCUACGGGAGGCAGCAGUAGGGAAUCUUCCGCAAUGGGCGAAAGCCUGACGGAGCAACGCCGCGUGAGUGAUGAAGGUCUUCGGAUCGUAAAACUCUGUUAUUAGGGAAGAACAUAUGUGUAAGUAACUGUGCACAUCUUGACGGUACCUAAUCAGAAAGCCACGGCUAACUACGUGCCAGCAGCCGCGGUAAUACGUAGGUGGCAAGUGUUAUCCGGAAUUAUUGGGCGUAAAGCGCGCGUAGGCGGUUUUUUAAGUCUGAUGUGAAAGCCCACGGCUCAACCGUGGAGGGUCAUUGGAAACUGGAAAACUUGAGUGCAGAAGAGGAAAGUGGAAUUCCAUGUGUAGCGGUGAAAUGCGCAGAGAUAUGGAGGAACACCAGUGGCGAAGGCGACUUUCUGGUCUGUAACUGACGCUGAUGUGCGAAAGCGUGGGGAUCAAACAGGAUUAGAUACCCUGGUAGUCCACGCCGUAAACGAUGAGUGCUAAGUGUUAGGGGGUUUCCGCCCCUUAGUGCUGCAGCUAACGCAUUAAGCACUCCGCCUGGGGAGUACGACCGCAAGGUUGAAACUCAAAGGAAUUGACGGGGACCCGCACAAGCGGUGGAGCAUGUGGUUUAAUUCGAAGCAACGCGAAGAACCUUACCAAAUCUUGACAUCCUUUGACAACUCUAGAGAUAGAGCUUUCCCCUUCGGGGGACAAAGUGACAGGUGGUGCAUGGUUGUCGUCAGCUCGUGUCGUGAGAUGUUGGGUUAAGUCCCGCAACGAGCGCAACCCUUAAGCUUAGUUGCCAUCAUUAAGUUGGGCACUCUAAGUUGACUGCCGGUGACAAACCGGAGGAAGGUGGGGAUGACGUCAAAUCAUCAUGCCCCUUAUGAUUUGGGCUACACACGUGCUACAAUGGACAAUACAAAGGGCAGCGAAACCGUGAGGUCAAGCAAAUCCCAUAAAGUUGUUCUCAGUUCGGAUUGUAGUCUGCAACUCGACUACAUGAAGCUGGAAUCGCUAGUAAUCGUAGAUCAGCAUGCUACGGUGAAUACGUUCCCGGGUCU